AGCAGCCGCGGUAAUUCCAGCUCCAAUAGCGUAUAUUAAAGUUGUUGCAGUUAAAAAGCUCGUAGUUGAAUUUCGGGGUUAGUAGGUUGGUCAUGCCUCUGGUAUGUACUGGUCUCACUGAUUCCUCCUUCCUGAUGAAUCUUAAUGCCAUUAAUUUGGUGUUUUGGGGAAUUUGGACUGUUACUUUGAAAAAAUUAGAGUGUUUAAAGCAAGCUAACGCUUGAAUACAUUAGCACGGAAUAAUGAAAUAGGACGUUCGAUCCUAUUUUGUUGGUUUCUAGGAUUGACGUAAUGAUUAAUAGGGAUAGUUGGGGGCAUUAGUAUUCAAUUGUCAGAGGUGAAAUUCUUGGAUUUAUUGAAGACCAACUACUGCGAAAGCAUUUGCCAAGGAUGUAUUCAUUAAUCAAGAACGAAAGUUAGGGGAUCGAAGACGAUCAGAUACCGUCGUAGUCUUAACCAUAAACUAUGCCGACUAGGGAUCGGAUGAUGUUAAUUUUUUAAUGACUCA
rnacentral:rRNA from 1 species